AUUUGGUUUUAAAAUCUUUUCACGUUUUUCCUCCAUUCUGGUUCCAUCCUGGAGGAAAAAUCGCUUCAAUUAAUCAUCAAAAGGAUCAAAGUUAAUGAGAUUCAAGCCGACGAUGAGCGGGUGGAAACUUCUCUCUCGCCUGGAUCUGUCAUGAAUUGCGGUGGUGUGAGGCAGACGCUAUGAGACCCAGAACCUCCUCCGGCUCCGGCCCGCUCAUGGCCCGCACGGAUCCAUCCCCUCGGUCUGCAGAUGAAUUGAUCCGGCUGCCUCCACUCGGCCGGUUGAUUAAUGGCGUCGUGCGGCGCAGCUUCAGGUUGCUGCAGGUUGGAGAUGAGACGGAGAGACGGGCAGCUGCUGCUGGAAGCAGGAAUAAAACCAGACAGAGACCCAACGAGGUUCUGAUUGAUACGGUAAAAGUUUCUGACUGGACAAAAGCAGCGAUAAAUCAGCAGGUUUUAUUCUGCAGAUGAAGCAAAGAGCCGCAAUGCAGCCGAACCGGAUCAAUCACCGAAACUGGAUCAAUAUCAAGUGUCAGCAGGGACUUAUAACGAUCAAUGAUCAGUUCUGGAUGGAUGAUAGAUUUAUUAACCCAUUCAUUUUUAAAAAUUCAUUUUAAUUUCAUUUCCUGACUGGUUCAACCAACUUUACUUUAGGGAGAGAUCACCAAUCCAACAUCAUGAAAACUCCAAUUUAUUAAAUGAAUUUAAUUUAUUUAAAUUCAUGUUUAAUAACAAACAUCAGAGUUUCAUCGUCAUGAAACCAGACAUGGAUCUGGAAAUAAUAAAGGUGAAAUUUCCUCUGAUUUUGAGGCUUUUACUGCAUCGUUCCUGUGAAUCUUGAUAAAUGAGCCUUGAAGAAAAGCUGAGCUGGAGAAGAUAAGAAAUGUCUUCAGGUCGAUUUUCUAAUAUUGAAUAGAAAAUAACGCAACAGAAAAAAUCACAAUUUCUGUCUGACGAGUCAGGAUGUGUUGGAUUUGACAGAAGGUCUUUAGAGUCACCGAGCGGUCAGUGAAUGCAGCAUCAGACCAGCAGAGGAAAGGAAGA